GGACUACCCGGGUUUCUAAUCCUGUUUGCUCCCCACGCUGUCGCGCCUCAGCGUCAGCUACUGCCCAGCAGGCCGCCUUCGCCACCGGUGUUCUUCCGGAUCUCUACGCAUUCCACCGCUACACCCGGAAUUCCACCUGCCUCUACAGUGCUCCAGCCCAGCAGUUGCCACGGCCGACCCGGGGUUGAGCCCCGGGCUUUCACCGCAACCUUACUGAGCCGCCUACGCGCCCUUUACGCCCAGUGAUUCCGGACAACGCUCGCACCCUCUGUAUUACCGCGGCGGCUGGCAC
rnacentral:rRNA from 1 species